rnacentral:rRNA from 1 species
AUUGAACGCUGGCGGCAGGCCUAACACAUGCAAGUCGAGCGGGGCGGCGGACGGGCGAGUAAUUCCUGGGAAUCAGCCUGGCUGUGGGGGAGAGCGUCCGGAAACGGGCGCUAAUACCUCAUACUAUCAGAUGAGCCUAGUUCGGAUUGGCUAGUUGGGGGGGUAAUGGCCUACAAAGGCGACGAUCCGUACCUGGUCUGAGAGGAUGAUCAGUCACACUGGAACUGAGACACGGUCCCGACUCUGACGGGAGGCAGCAGUGGGGAAUAUUGGACAAUGGGCGAAAGCCUGAUCCAGCCAUGCCGCGUGUGUGAAGAAGGCCUUCGGGUUGUAAAGUACUUUCAGCGGGGAGGCGUUACCCGCAGAAGAAGCACCGGCUAACUCCGUGCCAGCAGCCGCGGUAAUAC